GACGAACGCUGGCGGCGUGCUUAACACAUGCAAGUCGAACGGAAAGGCCCUGCUUUUGUGGGGUGCUCGAGUGGCGAACGGGUGAGUAACACGUGAGUAACCUGCCCUUGACUUUGGGAUAACUUCAGGAAACUGGGGCUAAUACCGGAUAGGAGCUCCUGCUGCAUGGUGGGGGUUGGAAAGUUUCGGCGGUUGGGGAUGGACUCGCGGCUUAUCAGCUUGUUGGUGGGGUAGUGGCUUACCAAGGCUUUGACGGGUAGCCGGCCUGAAAGGGUGACCGGCCACAUUGGGACUGAGAUACGGCCCAGACUCCUACGGGAGGCAGCAGUGGGGAAUAUUGCACAAUGGGCGGAAGCCUGAUGCAGCAACGCCGCGUGCGGGAUGACGGCCUUCGGGUUGUAAACCGCUUUCGCCUGUGACGAAGCGUGAGUGACGGUAAUGGGUAAAGAAGCACCGGCUAACUACGUG
rnacentral:rRNA from 1 species